rnacentral:rRNA from 1 species
GGAGCAUGCGGAUUAAUUCGAUGCAACGCGAAGAACCUUACCAAGGCUUGACAUAUACGAGAACGGGCCAGAAAUGGUCAACUCUUUGGACACUCGUAAACAGGUGGUGCAUGGUUGUCGUCAGCUCGUGUCGUGAGAUGUUGGGUUAAGUCCCGCAACGAGCGCAACCCUCGUUCUAUGUUGCCAGCACGUUAUGGUGGGAACUCAUAAGAGACUGCCGGGGUCAACUCGGA